rnacentral:rRNA from 1 species
UACGGAGGGUGCAAGCGUUAUCCGGAUUCACUGGGCUUAAAGGGUGCGUAGGUGGGCAGGUAAGUCCGUGGUGAAAUCUCUGAGCUUAACUCAGAAACUGCCGUGGAUACUAUUUGUCUUGAAUAUUGUGGAGGUGAGCGGAAUAUGUCAUGUAGCGGUGAAAUGCUUAGAUAUGACAUAGAACACCAAUUGCGAAGGCAGCUCACUACACAAUUAUUGACGCUGAGGCACGAAAGCGUGGGGAUCAAACAGG